rnacentral:rRNA from 1 species
UACGUAGGGUGCAAGCGUUAAUCGGAAUUACUGGGCGUAAAGCGUGCGCAGGCGGUUUGUAAGUCUGUCGUGAAAUCCCGGGCUCAACCUGGGAACUGCAUUUGUGACUGCAUGGCUAGAGUGCGGCAGAGGGGAUGGAAUUCCGCGUGUAGCAGUGAAAUGCGUAGAUAUGCGGAGGAACACCGAUGGCGAAGGCAAUCCCUGGCCUGCGAACUGACGCUCAUGCACGAAAGCGUGGGAGCAAACAGG